rnacentral:lncRNA from 1 species
CACCAAUGAGCCAGUAUCACUUUGGCUUGACUGCUAGUCCACAUUUCUUGUGUCGUCCAGUUUUUAUUUUUAUUUUUCUAGUUAUUUAUUUAAGUCAAGUUCGUGUCAGGUCCAAUCCAAUUCAAGUCCAGUUCAAGUAAUGUUGAGUCAAGUCAAUGUCGUUCCAGCCUAAGUAGUAUUGAGUCCAUGUCAUAAUAAAGUCCACAUACAAAAUAAACCAGCCAAAGAAC